CGUCAUCGUGAAUCUAGCGGUGUGGCAGAGAGUGUGCGCCCAUACUGUAAUUCACACAGCGCUCGUACCGACGCUCUCUCGCUCCAUCCUCAAACACUGCAGUCAUGUCUGACUUCACAGAGGACCAGAUUUGUGAGUUUAAGGAGGCCUUCCUCCUGUUUGACCGAACAGGAGAUGGGAAGAUCAUGUAUAAUCAGUGCGGGGAUGUGAUGCGUGCUCUGGGGCAGAACCCUGUCAAUGCGGAGGUCCUUAAAGUCCUGGGCAACCCCAGUAAU